rnacentral:lncRNA from 1 species
ACUUGGAAUCAGAGCCAUUUCUAAUUUGUAUAUCACUUAAGAAGAUUUGAUUGAUGUGUUUGCUGUCGAUUGUGGAAUGGUGAGAAUGGAAGGGAUAUUUAUCGGAAGCAGAAGAAGGAUUCUAGUAGUUUCUCUGGAAAUCUAAUUGGGCUUUCGUCGAGAAACUGUAUCUAGACAAGUCUCGAACCUUCAAUGAAGGGAUUUGGGCUU